UACGGGGGGGGCAAGCGUUGUUCGGAAUUACUGGGCGUAAAGGGCUCGUAGGUGGCCAACUAAGUCAGACGUGAAAUCCCUCAGCUUAACUGGGGAACUGCGUCUGAUACUGGAUGGCUUGAGUUUGGGAGAGGGAUGCGGAAUUCCAGGUGUAGCGGUGAAAUGCGUAGAUAUCUGGAGGAACACCGGUGGCGAAGGCGGGAUCCUGGACCAACACUGACGCUGAGUGAGCGAAAGCCAGGGGAGCAAACGGG
rnacentral:rRNA from 1 species